rnacentral:lncRNA from 1 species
ACGACUGUGCGAAGGAGAGACAACNNAAAUUUGAAAAUGAAAUCNCUAGCAAUGAGCACCAACUAUUCUNGACAGAGGAAUAAGUGAAAAAUGAAGCAGGGCAGUUUGGGAAACUCAUCCAAAGCAGAUUUUCUUAUUAAGAAAAUAAAUUCAAACCCAACCAAGUACAACGCGCCACGUGGCGUUGUCAAAAGUGUUG